UUCUGUUGUCUCUGAGUUUGCAACUACAAUGAUCUCACCAUCUAAUUGACACAAUUCAGAUUAUACUUUUCCCUGUUACUUGAUUAUAUUUACUAAGUUUUCUUCUUCAAAGUCGAAAUGCGAAACUUAUUAAUCAAUAAAAAGUGUUAUCUAAAAAAUGGUAAUUAAAUACAGAGAAAUGAAUCAAACUUGAGUAAAAAAAAAAAAAGAAACUAGCUGUAGUAGUUAGGGGAUCUUCCGUCUAAUGGUCUUGAGACGAUCUUUCUCAGAAGGCCAAAACCAUUAGACUGAAGAGCUCUCUCCAUACUUGAUUAGAUUAUGGGACAGGAGAGAUGAUACUCAUUUUCGUUUGUCUUGUUAAUGAUGCGAAUGAGAUGAUUAAGUUGAUGAUGA
rnacentral:lncRNA from 1 species